rnacentral:rRNA from 1 species
AAUGGACGUAAGUCUGACGCAGCAACGCCGCGUGUGUGAUGAAGGCUUUCGGGUCGUAAAGCACUGUCAGGAGGGAAGAAGAAAAGACGGUACCUCCAAAGGAAGCACCGGCUAACUCCGUGCCAGCAGCCGCGGUAAUACGGAGGGUGCAAACGUUGUUCGGAAUCAUUGGGCGUAAAGCGCACGUAGGCGGCUGAUCAAGUUUGAUGUGAAAUCCCGGGGCUCAACCUCGGAAUGCCAUUGGAAACUGGUCGGCUUGAGAGUGAGAGGGGUUAGUGGAAUUGCUGGUGUAGGGGUGAAAUCCGUAGAGAUCAGCAGGAACACCGGUGGCGAAGGCGACUGACUGGAUCAUUUCUGACGCUGAGGUGCGAAAGCGUGGGUAGCAAGCAGGAUU